rnacentral:misc_RNA from 1 species
UCAUUGUUCCGUUGCCCGCACGAACCGCAGGAUUUAUUCGUACUGCCUUCGGGUCUUGUGGGUGGAUAGGAGAUAUCGUUGCGGGGCUGGAAGAAAAUUGUUAUAGAUGGUUCGGUGAUUUGUUGAAUAGAGUGCGAGCGAGAGUCCCGAUAGAUGAGAAUCUACUAUUAAUUCGCUACGGAGGAAUGAAUUGCAAACGAGGGAAAAAUAUGCAGACUUUGAUGUAGAAUUUACUUUGAUGCAAAGCCAUGGACGUUCAUGGCAGUGAUAUGUAUGUAUAUAGCUAUACAAUUGAAGAUCGUAAGUCAUACGUUUGAAAUAUAAAAGGCAGAAGACAGACGAGAAUAUUAUGGAAUAAAGAGAAAUGGUUUUAAACGUUGUACCACGUUAAUAAAAG